CGACCGGCAAACGGGUGCGGAACACGUACACAACCUUCCUUCAAAUGGGGAAUAGCCCAGGGAAACUUGGAUUAAUACCCCGUAACAUUAUGAAGUGGCAUCACUUUAUAAUUAUUGCUCCGGCGUUUGGAGAUGGGUGUGCGGCUGAUUAGGUAGUUGGCGGGGUAACGGCCCACCAAGCCUUCGAUCAGUAACUGGUGUGAGAGCACGACCAGUCACACGGGCACUGAGACACGGGCCCG
rnacentral:rRNA from 1 species